GCCUGUUUAUCAAAAACAUAGCCUACUAUUUAACUUAGGUACAACCCUGCCCUCUGACUUUUAACAGCCGCGGUAUCCUAACCGUGCUAAGGUAGCAUAAUCACUUGCCUAUUAAUUAUAGGCUAGAAUGAACGGGAUCACUCACUUAAACUUAUUUUUAUUUAAAUUUAAAUUAAACUUUAAGUCAAAAUACUAAAUUAAAAAGAAAGACAAAAAGACCCUGAAAACUAUUAGAAAUAAUUAGUUGGGGCAACUAUAGACCACUCUAGCGUCUAUUUUUUUUAAACUCUUAAAAUCUAAAGUAUCCAGUUACUUCAGGGAUAACAGACUAAUUUUAUUAUUUAGACCCAAUAAAUAAUAAAGAUUGGCACCUCGAUGUUGGCUUAUAUUUCCUUCAUAUAGCAACAUAUAUAGAAGGCAGCUUGUUCAUCUGUUAAAUAUUUACAUGAGCUGAGUUCAGACCGGCGUAAGC
rnacentral:rRNA from 1 species